GGAUGCGAUGAGGACGCCGCCCGCAUAACCACAACAAGACUCAUCCACAGAGAGACCCAUGAACUUUGGAGAACCAGUGUGUAGCUUUAAAAACUUAACCCAACCAAAAGAAAAAGAAACCUGAACUCACUGAAGAAACUUGGGGUCGCCACUCACCGCCACGCUGUCCAGAGUACCCAGGCAGAGCGGCGUGCAGGAGACACUUCAACGCCUCCUGAGAGCUGCAGUUCUGAUUUUCCAUCUCAAUCAGCAGCAUCAGCGCAAGAGAGAAACCCACACCACCUCCAGAGACCCCCAGACAAUGGCCCUCACAUCAGUUUUCUACUCCCCCUCCUCAACCGAGGUAACUGAGUGUGACCUGGACCUGGCACCCUGACCUGGCAGGGAGUCAAAUCAACAAGCAUAGAAACGCCAGAGCUACAUGAUCCUGUUUUAUUCUGGCAAGCUUAUAAAACCUCAGACACUACAGCCAAAAUGCAGAGACAACAGGGACUGUAGAUGUCUUUUGUUAGAGAUAUCAAGGACAUAUGACACUUCAUAUCUCUUUUCAGCUAAUGGCUUUAGUUACUGUCUUAUCUUACUACACCGUUAAGAUGACAUCUAACCAGUUACUCAUUUUCUUUGUUGUUCCUUUGCAUUAAAAACACCUUCUUGGCCUCACUGA